rnacentral:rRNA from 1 species
AUACGUAGGGGGCGAGCGUUGUCCGGAAUUACUGGGUGUAAAGGGAGCGCAGGCGGGCGUGCAAGUCAGCUGUGAAAUCCAUGGGCUUAACCCGGGGGCUGCAGUUGAAACUGUAUGUCUUGAGUGAAGUAGAGGUAGGCGGAAUUCCGAGUGUAGCGGUAAAAUGCGUAGAUAUUCGGAGGAACACCGGUGGCGAAGGCGGCCUACUGGGCUGUAACUGACGCUGAGGCUCGAAAGUGUGGGGAGCAAACAGGAUUAGAUACCCUGGUAGUCCACACUGUAAACGAUGAUUGCUAGGUGUGGGGGGUCUGACCCCUUCCGUGCCGCAGUUAACGCAAUAAGCAAUCCACCUGGGGAGUACGGCCGCAAGGCUAAAACUCAAAGGAAUUGACGGGG